rnacentral:rRNA from 1 species
UACGGGGGGAGCAAGCGUUGUUCGGAUUUACUGGGCGUAAAGGGCGCGUAGGCGGCCACCGCAAGUCGACUGUGAAAUCUCCGGGCUUAACCCGGAAAGGUCAGCCGAUACUGCGGGGCUAGAGUGCAGAAGGGGCAACUGGCAUUCUCGGUGUAGCGGUGAAAUGCGUAGAUAUCGAGAGGAACACCUGCGGCGAAGGCGGGUUGCUGGGCUGACACUGACGCUGAGGCGCGAAAGCUAGGGGAGCGAACGGG